UAGCGGUUAUACCAUGUUCGGAUGUUGGUUAAACGACUCGAUAGUUUCAAAUUGUUAUGGAUUUGGAGGUGAUUAUUGAGUGUGAUUUGUACUUGGAUUGGUCAUAGAAUUGGAGUGAGCCAAGGAAGAUUUUUCAUAGUAUUAUAAAGGAUUGUUCUUCAAGGUUAAAUCCGUAUGGGGAUUAUAAUUGGUAUUGGCAUACUUGGAUAUUGCAAAUAAUUGUAUUUCUAUUAGUGGAUUAAAUUCUUAAGACCAUAGACUAUGCAUGUUGAUGGGAGAAUUCUAGUUAUUUGAAUUUUCAUGUUUGGAUUGGGCUAUUAGAUCUUU
rnacentral:lncRNA from 1 species